UCCUGGCUCAGGAUGAACGCUAGCGGCAGGCCUAACACAUGCAAGUCGCGGGGCAGCACGGGUAGCAAUACCUGGUGGCGACCGGCGCACGGGUGCGUAACGCGUAUGCAACCUGCCCCCAUCAGGGGAAUAGCCCGCCGAAAGGCGGAUUAAUGCCCCAUAGGCCCAGGGCGCCGCAUGGCGCUAUGGGUAAAGCUCCGGCGGAUGGGGAUGGGCAUGCGUGCCAUUAGCUAGUUGGGGCGGUAACGGCGCACCAAGGCGACGAUGGCUAGGGGGUCUGAGAGGAUGGUCCCCCACACUGGUACUGAGACACGGACCAGACUCCUACGGGAGGCAGCAGUGGGGAAUAUUGCACAAUGGGCGAAAGCCUGAUGCAGCAACGCCGCGUGAGUGAUGAAGGCCUUCGGGUCGUAAAACUCUGUCCUCAAGGAAGAUAAUGACGGUACUUGAGGAGGAAGCCCCGGCUAACUACGUGCCAGCAGCCGC
rnacentral:rRNA from 1 species